UCAGAUUUCUUACUUUUCGUCCUUCAGAUUCAUUGUUUUGUUGAUGGUUCCCAUAGUCCGUGCUUGAAGAAGAAGCCAUAGGGGACAAUAGAGCCCCAGUCCGCUUGAUGUUUGCACAGUUGAUGUUCUCCCGGAAAUUAAUUCAUGGCAAUCAACUGCGAUUGCAAUUUUACUUCUUCCUGUGAUUUAAGAUACCUCUGUUUUAUGGGAUGGGCGUCCCUGCUUUUUGGUGCGCAGAAGUGAGAUUGGCGGUCAUUUUCCCUCUAAAUUUUUGUGCGGGCCUUUUCCAUACAGAAUCAAUCGCGAGUAUUACCUGCGGGAGAGUAAAAUACGGAAUACGUGGUCGUUUCCUUGUUUUUUUCGCCAGAAAAGUGGGGAAGGGAAAUUGGCCCAGCCGUUCGAUGCGAGUUUAACGUUUCGGGAGCACGGGACGUGAGCAGGCAAGCCCCGUCCAUUCCUGUCCACGGUGUAAUGCGCCCUCACAGCAUGGUCUGGUGGUCCUGCCAGAGAAACAGAAACCGUAGACUGUUACACUAUGUGCUAAUCUUAUACUCCCUCCAUCACACACAGUGUGGCAGACUUAGUACAUCCAAAGUUGUACCAAGUCCACGACACUUAUUUUGGGAUGGAGAGAGUAUUAGGUAGCAUGCUUCCCCUUUUUGUUAGCAUGCUUUUCUUUUUGUUUUGAAGAGCGAAUGAUUUUAUUGUUGACAAACACAGUAUAGAGAUACGCAUGCAGGUGUUGAUGCUGAUAUUUCAAAAA